rnacentral:rRNA from 1 species
GAUGAACGCUAGCGGCAGGCCUAACACAUGCAAGUCGAGGGGCAGCACAGAAAGUGGUAACACUUUUGGUGGCGACCGGCGGACGGGUGCGUAACGCGUAUGCAACCUACCUUUUACAGGGGGAUAACGGAGAGAAAUUUCCACUAAUACCCCAUAAUAUCAUGAACGGCAUCGUUUGUGGUUGAAAACUCUGGUGGUAAAAGAUGGGCAUGCGUUGUAUUAGGUAGUUGGUGAGGUAAUGGCUCACCAAGCCUACGAUACAUAGGGGGACUGAGAGGUUAGCCCCCCACACUGGUACUGAGACACGGACCAGACUCCUACGGGAGGCAGCAGUGAGGAAUAUUGGUCAAUGGGGGCAACCCUGAACCAGCCAUGCCGCGUGCAGGAAGACGGCUCUAUGAGUUGUAAACUGCUUUUGUAAAUGGAUAAAUGCGGGUACAUGUACCCGUUUGAAGGUAAUUUACGAAUAAGGAUCGGCUAACUCCGUGCCAGCCGCCGCAGUAA